rnacentral:rRNA from 1 species
AUGAACGCUGGCGGCGUGCCUCAUCCCUGCCAGUCGAGCGAACGGACGAGAAGCUUGCUUCUCUGAUGUUAGCGGCGGACGGGUGAGUAACACGUGGAUAACCUACCUAUAAGACUGGGAUAACUUCGGGAAACCGGAGCUAAUACCGGAUGAUAUUUUGAACCGCAUGGUUCAAAAGUGAAAGACGGUCUUGCUGUCACUUAUAGAUGGAUCCGCGCUGCAUUAGCUAGUUGGUAAGGUAACGGCUUACCAAGGCAACGAUGCAUAGCCGACCUGAGAGGGUGAUCGGCCACACUGGAACUGAGACACGGUCCAGACUCCUACGGGAGGCAGCAGUAGGGAAUCUUCCGCAAUGGGCGAAAGCCUGACGGAGCAACGCCGCGUGAGUGAUGAAGGUCUUCGGAUCGUAAAACUCUGUUAUUAGGGAAGAACAUAUGUGUAAGUAACUGUGCACAUCUUGACGGUACCUAAUCAGAAAGCCACGGCUAACUACGUG